rnacentral:rRNA from 1 species
GACGAACGCUGGCGGCGUGCUUAACACAUGCAAGUCGAACGGAAAGGCCCUGCUUUUGUGGGGUGCUCGAGUGGCGAACGGGUGAGUAACACGUGAGUAACCUGCCCUUGACUUUGGGAUAACUUCAGGAAACUGGGGCUAAUACCGGAUAGGAGCUCCUGCUGCAUGGUGGGGGUUGGAAAGUUUCGGCGGUUGGGGAUGGACUCGCGGCUUAUCAGCUUGUUGGUGGGGUAGUGGCUUACCAAGGCUUUGACGGGUAGCCGGCCUGAGAGGGUGACCGGCCACAAGGGGACUGAGAGACGGCGCAGACUCCUACGGGAGGCAGCAGUGGGGAAUAUUGCACAAUGAGCGGAAGCCUGAUACAGCAACGCCGCGUGCGGGAUGACGGCCUUCGGGUUGUAAACCGCUUUCGCCUGUGACGAAGCGUGAGUGACGGUAAUGGGUAAAGAAGCACCGGCUAACUACGUG